UUGGUCCAAUAAAGAAGGUGGAG
rnacentral:miRNA from 1 species